rnacentral:lncRNA from 1 species
CCCGCCGCCAUGAGGGGUGGCUGUCCCUCGCGCGGCCCCGCCGAUGAAGGUAUAUCAGCUACACUCCUUCCUCUGGCUUCAGCGCAGAUCUGCCUCCCAGAUGUGGAGACGUAAAGCUACUUCUUCCGAAGGAUUUGAAUCCUGCACUUCAGAGAGAUGCAGAAGAAGCAUCAUCACCUGGUAAGAAAUAUGUAUUUCAUGUAAGGUUUCUUCCACAGAGCUGUU